CUGCACUAUGCUGUCCCCGUGCAAUGUUGGGGCUUAUUACUACAAGAGUGGCUGUGAGAGACCGUAUGUGCUUCUGUUGUUAUCAGAUUAAACGGCGUGCUGGUGCCAAAAGUAAAAGUGUCUGCCUGAUUCAUCACACAACGUAAGAGAGAGUACACAACCGCUACACAGACAUUCCCGUUGUCAGCUGUGAGACCUCUAGGAACUGUUUGCAGCGCAGCCUUCACCCAGAUGACCUGUCCAGACUCUACCAACGCUGGUUCUGUGGACAAUCUAAUACAGUGGAUAUAUCUCCAGUGAGGGAGACUCUGGUGGAGGAGUGGUGCACGGUUCCAAGAUUUACGGGGUCAUUAGUUUCACGAUGAAUGGUACUCAUGUCUGUGUUAAACCAGCUGCAUUCAUGGAUGUCUGUCAACCGAGAUACAAGGACUGGAUCAGGCGGAUUACGGGUUUGCGAACCAUCUAACCCUCCAUGUAUUCAUUUAGAGUGAAAUGUCCCCUCAUUCAAGAGACAUUCACAUGAAUUGGAGUAGUGAGUUUCUUUACAUUUUCAAUUGAUAAAUGUUAAUUGAAUAACUACUAGGCCUAAAGUUUUUAUUAUUAAGCCCUUCACUCUGCUAAUGUUGCUGAGUGCUGUGCUCUUGAUGGAUUAAUGUCGGGUCUUUGUCGAUAUAAAUAACAAAGAGUAAGGUCUUUUACCUGCUCCUUUUUAAAUGUAUCUCGAGAUAACAUUUGUUAUGAAUUGGUGCGAAACAAAUAAAGAUUGACUGACUGAUCAGAUAAAUAUAAUCAUACUUUUAAAACAUAACUAUCAAUUUAUCAAUAUAUUAUCACCUGUUCAGAUUCAUACUGUUAUACUUUGGGGGGAAAAGAAAACAUGUCUAAAAUUGUGUAUUUUAUAUAAACAGAGAUUUGGUUUUUCUUGUAACUAUUUGGUCUUGUUCUCGAUUCUUUAAGAAAUAAAUCAAACGUGACUCCUUUUCAACAAUUGUGAAUUGAAAAUAAAAUGAUGACUCACAAA